CUCCCUGGAGCGGAAGUGACGUCACAGAGGGAGGCGGAGCCGGACUGGGAACGCGCGCGGAGCGCUGCGGUUCUGCCUGGCUCGUGCGGGGCCGUUGGAGCCUCUCCCGGGCCGGAGAAGGUUUGUGACUGAGAUCAGGGCUCUUAUCGUACUGAGCGUGGCCCUGUUCUGCCAGGCGCUGCAGAGACCCCAGUAAAUGUCUGGGGAAUAGUCACAAAACAAUUUCGCGUUGAAUAAGGAGUUGCUAAUGUGAAGAGAUUGAGUAACACUGCUUCCCAGAAAAGUGUAAUGCACCCCACCUCUCCAUCAUCACAUACUUCACCCACCAUGCCAGACUAGAAGUACUGACAGCGGAUCAGCCACUGACACAUCUAACCUAGUAUCCUGUCUUCACCAGUGGCCAGGACACAGCUGUUUAAUUCCUAUGUAUCCUACUGUGCAAUAUCAUACCAUAGGCUUCUCCAUAAAGGGAUAAAUCAGUUGUUUAA